AAUAGAUACCCUGGUAGUCCACGCCGUAAACGGUGGGCACUAGAUGUGGGGCUCUUUCCAUGAGUUCCGCGUCGCAGCUAACGCAUUAAGUGCCCCGCCUGGGGAGUACGGCCGCAAGGCUAAAACUCAAAGGAAUUGGACGGGGGCCCGCACAAGCGGCGGAGCAUGCGGAUUAAUUCGAUGCAACGCGAAGAACCUUACCAAGGCUUGACAUAAUACGGUCUAUCCCUAGAGAUAGGGAGUGCUUCGGCGCCGUAUACAGGUGGUGCAUGGUUGUCGUCAGCUCGUGUCGUGAGGUGUUGGGUUAAGUCCCGCAACGAGCGCAACCCUCGUCCUAUGUUGCCAGCACGUAAUGGUGGGGACUCAUAGGAGACUGCCGGGGUCAACUCGGAGGAAGGUGGGGAUGACGUCAAAUCAUCAUGCCCCUUAUGUCUUGGGCUUCACGCAUGCUACAAUGGCCGGUACAAAGGGCUGCGAUACCGUAAGGUGGAGCGAAUCCCAAAAAGCCGGUCUCAGUUCGGAUUGAGG
rnacentral:rRNA from 1 species